AGCUUCACCUUGCAGAUAUCCUCUCCGGGUAUCCAAUGCCCAUACUCCCACUCGGCCAUCGCAAGGGGUUGGGGUUGGCUUUUUUUCGGGCAACUGCUCACAGCUCCCAGUAAUCACUUCCAUCAAGCCGGGGUUUCCAGUUCCCGCUAGGAAGCGUGGGGAACGUCCGGGCACUGCGCACCCCGCCAGCGCCGGUUACCAAGCGCCUCCUCCCCCCUGUCUGUGGGACAACGCUCUGGAAGACCUCCGUGUGGAUGGCCGUGGCUGUGAGGACUACCGAUGUGUUGAAGUGGAAACCGAUGUGGUGUCCAACACCAGUGGGUCUGCCAGGGUCAAGCUGGGUCACACAGACAUCUUGGUGGGAGUAAAAGCAGAAAUGGGGACACCGAAGCUGGAGAAACCAAAUGAAGGCUACUUGGAGUUCUUUGUUGACUGUUCAGCCAGUGCUACCCCUGAAUUUGAAGGUAGAGGAGGUGAUGACCUUGGCACCGAGAUCGCUAACACCCUCUAUCGGAUAUUUAACAAUAAAAGCAGUGUCGACCUAAAGACCCUCUGCAUUAGUCCUCGGGAGCACUGCUGGAUUCUCUAUGUGGAUGUGCUGCUGCUGGAAUGUGGUGGAAAUUUGUUUGAUGCCAUUUCCAUUGCUGUAAAGGCUGCUCUCUUCAAUACAAGGAUACCAAGGGUUCGAGUUCUGGAGGAUGAAGAGGGGUCGAAGGACAUUGAAUUGUCUGAUGACCCUUAUGACUGCAUACGACUAAGUGUGGAGAAUAUCCCCUGCAUUGUCACUCUGUGCAAGAUUGGCUAUCGGCAUGUGGUGGAUGCUACUCUUCAGGAGGAGGCCUGCUCGCUGGCCAGCUUGCUGGUGUCGGUGACCAGCAAGGGAGUUGUGACGUGCAUGAGGAAAGUGGGGAAGGGCAGCCUGGACCCAGAGAGCAUCUUCGAGAUGAUGGAGACUGGCAAGCGUGUGGGCAAGGUGCUGCAUGCCUCCUUGCAGAGUGUUCUGCACAAGGAAGAAAGCCUGGGGCCCAAGAGACAGAAAGUUGGAUUCCUGGGAUGAUUUGCACAUCAACUGCUCAACUGUGGAUUGUUUUUUAUUUUUCCUUUUAAACCGGGGAACUGAAACUCCUAAAUCUUAAAACGCCCUGGGGAAGGAGCUGAUUCAUGAAGGAGAGCAUUUCAACCAUGGCAUUUGCUCUCUGCAUUCCAGUUAGACAAAUGGGGUAAGGCGUUAGGAAUUUAUCACCAAAUGGAAAGAACAUAAUGUGAGCUGAAGCCCUUGGGACUACUUCCAGAGAUCCUGGUGUGGGCGUUCCUCCCAGCAAGGCCAGGUCCAUCCCUGUGGAGAGAAGCAGCUGCCUAGACUUGGGCUUAAUGGGGAAGCUUCUGCCCUGUUGAGAGCACAGCCUGGGUUUUCAUCUUUUAUGUUUCUUCAGUGACUAUCUACAGGCACCAUGACGGUGUUCCCAACAAGGCAGAAAUCAGCCUGGUCUCUCCUCUCCUGCUCCUGGUUGACUGCCCGUGACAUGACAAAACAUUGGCAGUGGUGGCACAGAGAUGCAACUGGAGUGUGAAUAAAGUUUAGAAGCGUUUGCUUUU
rnacentral:sRNA from 1 species